rnacentral:rRNA from 1 species
AGUUUGAUCCUGGCUCAGGACGAACGCUGGCGGCGUGCAUAAUACAUGCAAGUCGUACGCUUCUUUUUCCACCGGAGCUUGCUCCACCGGAAAAAGAAGAGUGGCGAACGGGUGAGUAACACGUGGGUAACCUGCCCAUCAGAAGGGGAUAACACUUGGAAACAGGUGCUAAUACCGUAUAACAAUCAAAACCGCAUGGUUUUGAUUUGAAAGGCGCUUUCGGGUGUCGCUGAUGGAUGGACCCGCGGUGCAUUAGCUAGUUGGUGAGGUAACGGCUCACCAAGGCCACGAUGCAUAGCCGACCUGAGAGGGUGAUCGGCCACAUUGGGACUGAGACACGGCCCAAACUCCUACGGGAGGCAGCAGUAGGGAAUCUUCGGCAAUGGACGAAAGUCUGACCGAGCAACGCCGCGUGAGUGAAGAAGGUUUUCGGAUCGUAAAACUCUGUUGUUAGAGAAGAACAAGGAUGAGAGUAACUGUUCAUCCCUUGACGGUAUCUAACCAGAAAGCCACGGCUAACUACGUGCCAGCAGCCGCGGUAAUACGUAGGUGGCAAGCGUUGUCCGGAUUUAUUGGGCGUAAAGCGAGCGCAGGCGGUUUCUUAAGUCUGAUGUGAAAGCCCCCGGCUCAACCGGGGAGGGUCAUUGGAAACUGGGAGACUUGAGUGCAGAAGAGGAGAGUGGAAUUCCAUGUGUAGCGGUGAAAUGCGUAGAGAUAUGGAGGAACACCAGUGGCGAAGGCGGCUCUCUGGUCUGUAACUGACGCUGAGGCUCGAAAGCGUGGGGAGCAAACAGGAUUAGAUACCCUGGUAGUCC